GACUAACGGCUGGAACCGCCUAAGACACCACCCCAGCCAGCAUGGCCGGCAGGAGCGCACCGCGCUGUCUCCCUCCAGGGAUCCGCACCGCCCUACAAUCCUGCUUUGUGCUGAGAUUGUAGUCCUGCAGGCGUACAACUAACAAGCUGGGUGCAGAUAAGAGACUACAGCUCCCCGCAUCCCAAGCAAAGGUCCCUCCUCUACGGAGCCCCUCCACGCGUCCACUGCGGUUCCGCCGUGCCAAGGGGAGCUUGGCUGUUCACGGGCCUCACCUGCUAGCGAGAAGAUAGCUUGGCCGGGCGGCUGAUCUCACCUUGUAAUUCUGACACUGUGUCUCCCGGGCUUGUCGGCUUCAUGACUUGUGCCCAAAGUUUGAUUUCUCGCAGACCAGGAGGACCCAUUGGACCCCCGGGCUGGCUGCAGGGCCCACACCUGGGUUAGACCUCGCACAGGGACGCUGCUGCCACUGUAAUAAAGCGUGCCUACACGCUUCUGAAACUGGUGUAGGAACAACCUCAGUUCUGUGAAAGGCGGACGCAGCAGGACAGAAUCUCCGUGGACAUCUGUCUGGAGGAGCAAUUUUACUGCGACAUUUUAAAGAAACAAAUUUAAUUGAUUUCCAAGGGUGUCCAUCGCGCUUCCUUCACUGCCUUGAUCAUGUCGGGGUCACCACCUGCGGGGGUUUGUCCUGCAGACCCUGACUCAACGACGGAUGAAUAAUGUACACUGACACAGAUCUUAUGCUUGUCAGUCCUGCUGAGCAUCCAGGCCACUUACAGACUCCAAGAAGAGUCCUGUCAGCCACGGCUCUGACUUGUUGGCCCUCCCGGCAUUUAUUUAGCACACAUUUAAUGACAGAAGUCUCAGGUAAACACCACUAGAAGGUAAUUAUUGUUGCUGAACCCCCGAGUAGAGAGCAAUCAUGCACCAGUGGAUGAUCAGAGGCUGGAAACACUCUUUUUGUAGAACAUACAAAUGGACAUUUCUAAGCACAUUGAGGCCUAUAAUGAAAAAUCAAAUAUCCCACAAUGAAAACUAGAAGGAAGCUAUCUGUGAUAAUGCUUUGUGGUGUAUGGAUUCAUCUCACUGACUGAAACCUGAGUUUUGAUUCACCAGGUUGGAAACACUUUUACUGUAUUAUCUAUGAAGAAACGUUUUUGAGGCCAUUAAGUCCUACACUGAAAAACUGAAUAUACUGCAUUAAACAUUCUAAAGAAGCUAACUGUGAAAAUGCUUUGCAAUGUGUGUAUUUAUCUCACAGAGUUAAACCAUUGUUUUGAUUCAUCAGUUUGGAAACAGUUUCUUUGUAGAAUCUAUGAAGGGACCUUUCAGAGGCCAUUGAGGCCUAUAAUAAAGAAACAAAUAUCCCACAAUAAAACAAGAAACAUAUAGAAACAAGCUGUAUGUGAAAAUGCUUUGUGAUAUCUGGAUUCUUCUCACUGAAUCAAACCUGGGUUUUGAGUCACCAGGUUGGAAACACUUUUUUUGUAAAAUCUAGGAAGGGAAAUUUCUGAGCCCAUUGAGGCACAUAGUGAAAAACCGAGGAUCCUGUGAUAAAAACUAGAAAAACGCAAUAUGUGAAGUUGCUUUGUGAUGUGUGGAUUCGUCUCCCCGAAUGGAAUCUCUGUUUUGAUUCACCAGGUUGGAAACAAUGUUUUUGUAGAAUGUACAAUGAGACAUUUCUGAGUCCAUUUAGGCCUAUACUGAGAAACCCAAUAUCCUGCUAUAAGAAGUAGAAAAAUGCUAUCUGUAAAAAUGCUUUGUGAUGCAUGGAUUCAUCUCACAGAGUUAAAGCUUUGUUUGGAUUCAACAGGUGAAAAACCCUUUUUUACAGAAUCUACAAAAAACAUCUCUGAUCCCAUUGAAGUUUAUAGUGAAAAACAGAAUAUCCUGUGAUAAAAAGUAGAAACAAGCUAUCCGUUGAAAUGCUUUGCAAGGUCUGAAUUCAUCUGACAGAGUUAAACCUCUCUUUUAAUUCAUCAAUUUGGAAACACGCUUUUCUUAGAAUCUAUGAAGAAACAUUUCUGACCCAAUUGAAACCUAUACUGAAAAAUAGAAUAUCCCAAAAUAAAACCAGAGAAAA
ensembl:lncRNA LINC00662 long intergenic non-protein coding RNA 662